rnacentral:rRNA from 1 species
GACGAACGCUGGCGGCGUGCUUAACACAUGCAAGUCGAACGAAGUGGCGAACGGGUGAGUAAUACGUGGGUAACCUGCCCUCCUUUUUGGGAUAAGCCUUGGAAACGGGGUCUAAUAGCGAAUAAAGGGGGAUGGGCUCGCGGCCUAUCAGCUUGGUGGUGGCGUGAUGGCCUACCAAGGCGGGGACGGGCAGCCGGCCUGAGAGGGUGAACGGGCACAUUGGGACUGAGACACGUCCCAGGAUCCUACGGGAGGCAGCAUUGGGGGAUAUUGCACAAUGGGCGAAAGCCUGAUGCAGCGUCGCCGCGGGGGGGAUGCAGGCUUUCGGGUUGUAAACCUCUUUCGCUACCGAACGGGUAGGUGGAGAAGAAGCGACGGCUAACUACGUGCCAGCAGCCGCGGUAAUAC